rnacentral:rRNA from 1 species
CCUACGGGAGGCUGCAGUGAGGAAUAUUGGUCAAUGGACGCAAGUCUGAACCAGCCAUGCCGCGUGCAGGAAGACGGCUCUAUGGGUUGUAAACUGCUUUUAUACGGGAGUAAAUCCCGGUACGUGUAUCGGGUUGAAAGUAUCUUACGAAUAAGGAUCGGCUAACUCCGUGCCAGCAGCCGCGGUAAUACGGAGGAUUCCAGCGUUAUCCGGAUUUAUUGGGUUUAAAGGGUGCGUAGGCGGUUUGAUAAGUUAGAGGUGAAAGCCUGGGGCUCAACUCCGGAACUGCAUCUGAUACUGUCGGGCUAGAGUUUAGUUGCGGUAGGCGGAAUGCAUGGUGUAGCGGUGAAAUGCAUAGAGAUCAUACAGAACACCGAUUGCGAAGGCAGCUUACCAAACUACGACUGACGUUGAGGCACGAAAGUGUGGGGAGCAAACAGGAUUAGAUACCCCUGUAGUC